rnacentral:rRNA from 1 species
GACGAACGCUGGCGGCGUGCUUAACACAUGCAAGUCGAACGGAAAGGCCCUGCUUUUGUGGGGUGCUCGAGUGGCGAACGGGUGAGUAACACGUGAGUAACCUGCCCUUGACUUUGGGAUAACUUCAGGAAACUGGGGCUAAUACCGGAUAGGAGCUCCUGCUGCAUGGUGGGGGUUGGAAAGUUUCGGCGGUUGGGGAUGGACUGGCGGCUUAUCAGCUUGUUGGUGGGGUUGUGGCUUACCAAGGCUUUGACGGGUAGCCGGCCUGAGAGGGUGACCGGCGACAUUGGGACUGAGAGACGGCCCAGACUCCUACGGGAGGCAGCAGUGGGGAAUAUUGCACAAUGGGCGGAAGCCUGAUGCAGCAACGCCGCGUGCGGGAUGACGGCCUUCGGGUGGUAAACCGCUUUCGCCUGUGACGAAGCGUGAGUGACGGUAAUGGGUAAAGAAGCACCGGCUAACUACGUG